rnacentral:rRNA from 1 species
UACAGAAGGUGCGAGCGUUAUUCAUAGUUACUGGGCGUAAAGGGUAUGUAGGUAGAGCAGAAAAUUUUGCUAUAAAAUCUGGAGUCAUAACUUCAGAAACAAGCUUUUAGAUUACUGCUCUUUGAGUUAAUAACGGGUCGGAGGAACUUUUAGCGAAAAGGUAGAAUUUGCCAAUUCUAAAAGGGACACCAAAGGCAAAGGCAUCCCUCUAGUGUUAACUGACGCUGAGGUACGGAAGCGUAGGGAUCAAACAGG